GUCAGGAUGAACGCAGCGGAGGCCUAACACAUGCAAGUCGAACGGGAUUGGUAGCAAUACCAUGAGAGUGGCGCACGGUGAGUAACGCGUAUGCAACCUACCUGUAACAGAGGGAUAGCCCAUAGAAAUGUGGAUUAAUACCUCAUAGUCCUGAGAAGUCGCAUGGCUUUUCAGGUAAAACUCCGGUGGUUACAGAUGGGCAUGCGUGACAUUAGCUAGUUGGUAAGGUAACGGCUUACCAAGGCAACGAUGUCUAGGGGUUCUGAGAGGAUGAUCCCCCACACUGGUACUGAGACACGGACCAGACUCCUACGGGAGGCAGCAGUGAGGAAUAUUGGUCAAUGGGCGCAAGCCUGAACCAGCCAUCCCGCGUGGCCAGGAUGACGGCCCUGUGGGUUGUAAACUGCUUUUUGUACAGGAAGAAAAAUCCCUACGUGUAGGGACCUGCCGGUACUGUACGAAUAAGCAUCGGCUAACUCCGUGCCAGCAGCCGC
rnacentral:rRNA from 1 species